GAUUUUUCAUGGGACCGUACCGGGCUGUUCAGCAGCGGCAUGUAAGGAAUUUCUGAUGGAAAGCAGAGACAGGCAGUGGCAGGGCAGGCAGCUGCCUGCAGGAGAGAAGUUCCUCCAGGCCAGGGAGGACCCCCAGCUUUGGAGCAGUGGUCUUUUUGUUCCCCUGGGACAACCCCCACUGGUUUCCAUUGGUGUUCAACCCCCAGCCCUGAGAAACGUUUGCCAUAAGAGCUCCAUCAGAGAGAGGCGUGUGAGGACCAUGGCCUUGGAGAACUGCUCCUGCCUCACAUCCGACCUGCUGCAGAAGGCUUGGGUGGAGGAAAUGAAAGAUGAGAAGGAAAUAUUAAACUCAGCCGUGCCGUGGAAGUCAGCGAAAGGCUGCAGCUUGAGGAGAGAAGCUGCAAGAUGCCCCUCCAUUGCAAGCCUCAGGAUUCAAAAAUCGGACCUGCUGGCCCUCACUGGUGUGACUGGAAAAGCGGGCAGGGAAUCCACAUCUCAUCCCCAUGGAAAAUCCCAAUCGAUCUUUUGCCUGCUUUCUGCUUUUUAGCCAGCUUUUCCUGCCAAUAAAGGAAGAAAUAGCCUGGUGGAGAUAAAAAUA
rnacentral:lncRNA from 1 species